rnacentral:lncRNA from 1 species
UUCACCAUGGCCUUCCUCGUUAUCAGCAGACUCAAGCCCAAACUAUUCAUAAUCCUUCUCAAGAGUAGCCAAAUCCUCUCUCAAAAAUUGGUAUGAAACUCAUUCACAUCGACAUUCAGCGCCCCAUCGAAUCGAAGCGAUGUAGUCAAAGAAGAGAAAACCUGCAUUUCAUUUAAUCAACUGAAACUUAAACAAUAGCUCAUAUAAAAUUAUCCACUAAUGUUCUAGAUGUUUUAGGUCAUAUGUUGGGGAUUAUGAUAUUUGAUACCAAUUAAGAGCAUCCUAAACAAAUAUAUUUCAUCCGCAAGAAGCUAUCAACAAAAUAAAGUGAUCAACACAAUGAAGUUUUGGAUGAGUUACCGAAGCCUUCACAUACAGAACAAUGACAGAUUUAUUCAAUUAUUUGAUAAAAUAUAGUGGCAUGUAAAUAUGUGUGAU